rnacentral:lncRNA from 1 species
CGCGGCGGCGCCCCGCCCUCCCGAGGUUAGCUCCCCAGCCAAAGAGGGGGCGCGCUUGCGCGGUGGGUGGGGCCGCGAGACUUGGUACCUAGCCAGCGGGCGGAGCGCGGAGGGGGUUUCGCUUCGGGCUAAGGGACUGUAGUUGUGACAGCCAGGAAACCGAGAACGGAAUGCCAAUACUGCUUAGGCUUAGAGUUUGAAAGGCAUCUGAUUUCACUGCCAUGUCUUUGAACAGCAGUGCACAGUGCAGUCUUCUUCGUGGCUGAACAGCCACUCGAUGUCUUUUGAUUGGAGAGUUUAAUCAAACAGAAGGAGUCUUCCAUUGUGGCCACCACAGCUGGGAAUGAGCUAAGGUCUUGCUAUGUUGCCUAGACUGGUUUUGAACUCCUGGGCUGAAGCAAUCCUCCCACUUCGGCCUCUCAAAGUGCUGGGAUAUCAGACAUGAGCCACCUGCCAUGCUUGGCCUAUAAUCAUGAAAAGAUCAACCCCAAGAAAGAAAAGGAAACAUGGAAGGACCUGGACUGGAGUCACGCCAGUACAAGGAGGAUACUGGCAAAGAUGAGGCUAGUCAAGUGGAGCAGUGGGAGUGAAGAUGGAAUAAAGAAAUCCAUAACUGGUUGUGAUUAAGUAGUUGUAAACACCAACUGCACUCAGACCAACCCAUAUAUAUAUUUUUAAUUGUAAGCAUAGUAUAUAUAAAACUUCAAUUCCUGCUUUUUUUUACCUAACAUUAUAUCAUAUGCAUUUUCCAUACUGUUUCACAAUUCCUUGUAUUCGUAAUUGUUUAAUCCUGCAAAAUAAUGCUUCGAAUGAACAUAUGAUCAUUUCCUUAAGUAUUCCCCUACUAUUAGAAGUGAAGUUUCUUCCAGCAUUUUUCUCUUUGCUGUGAUGAAUAUUUUUAAGUAUAGAGAUUUUUCAGUUUGGUUAUGAGUUUUUGAAAAUCUACUUUACCAAAAACAAAGAAAACCCAUGUCUUUCUUUAGUACCUUUGCCAAGAUAUUACUUUUACUUGACAUUCAACAAGUAUAGGAUGAAAGUACACAAGUCUGCAAGGGACCUUGGAAGUAACUUGUUUCUGUCUAAUUUCUAUAAAAUUUCCAGGAGAUAGUCAUACAGCUUUAAUUUGAUCGCAUCCACUAGUUUUGGCAUUGGUAUUGCCAUAUUGAUUAUGGACACAUAAAACUGUAACUCCUGGAGCCAACCUCUCAGGCUUUCCUACAUGAAACCAAUGCCACCAUCCCACCCGCACUCUAGCACCUUCUAUCCACUGAUUUUAGUCAUUGACUUGCUCUCUUCCUCUUUCUGUUUGUUGUCUUCCAGUUUGUCUCUUUCAUUCCUCCCCUCCCUUCUCUAUCCUGCUCUCUGACCCAAGAGGCUGACCUGUAUGAACCACAUCAGUGAUUGGCUGGUGGGGCCCCCCAGCAAAGAGGAUGGAGUGAAGUGAGGGUAUUUACUUGCUUAAUUGCCUCCAGGCUGGGUCACUCACAGCUGGCCAUGUCCUUCCAUCAAAGAUCAGAGCUCUCCUCAAGGUAGCCCUCUCCACAAACUUUCUUGAGUUUCUCUUUCUGGGUUUUGUUAACCAUUUUCUCAACUUGUCCCUUCAUGCCUAGAGGUAAUAGCAGGUGGGGAAUGCUGUGCUAUUCCAUUUGGUUUUCCUGCACCCUUCCCAUGUUUGUAUGUAGUCCCUUUCAUCAAAGUACUGGGACUGUCCUAAUUCGAAUGUGCCAUCUUUUUUGUUUCCUGCUAAGAACUGUUCAACUCACUCUGGAUACACUCAAUAAAUAUAACUCAGACUGUCACAAUAUUGAAGUUGUCACUAUGUGCUUUGUUGAUAUCACUGGUCCAGAAAAUAAUGACAUGGCUCACUCUGCUCACCUCUUUAGUUUCCAUUUCAGCAUUGCUCACUCCCUUCACAAUUCCCCGU